rnacentral:lncRNA from 1 species
UUCCACUAGAAGCUGGGCAUAUUUAUCUCCGUCUUCUCCCUUGGCGCUGAUCCUCCUGCCCAGCACUUGGAUGUGCUUCCCGCUUGUCCUGCUGUACAGCUGAUAGAGCCGGAGCUGCUUCCUGCUCACGUCGUCUCUUGCUCGCGUUUGGUUCUCCACGUGUAUCCGAAAAUCUACAUUCUCCUCGGCAACAAACAUCUGUACCUGAAAGCACAGCAGCAGGAAAUGUAAACAUAGGCAAGUGCAGGCGGAGAGCAGUGAAUACAUCGCUGGGCGAGGAGGGGAGCUCAGUGCUGCCCGUAGCGCCGUGCAGUCCCCCGGCGCCGCGCUGACAUGGGCGCGCUCCGACCGCCGCGCUCCGUUCCGCGCCGCUCCGCGCCGCUCCGCGCCCCGGGAAGUUGUGGUCCCGCCCGCCGUGCCUGCGCCGAGUGACUCGCUUAGGCAUCAGCUCUCCUCUCCCCCUGUCUCUCCUCCUCCUCCUCCUCUCCCUCUCUCUCUCCGCCUUUGGGGGGGAUGAAGGUGCUUAUUGUCAGUAACUUCCGAUCAUCAGCCCGUGCCCCCCCGCCGCCCCCCGGCCGGCCCCGCGCCCGGCACUGCGCUCCGCGGCCGCGCAGCGGGAGGGGGCAGAGCGCGAG